GACGAACGCUGGCGGCGCGCCUAACACAUGCAAGUCGAACGAGCGAGAGGGAGCUUGCUUUCUCGAGCGAGUGGCGAACGGGUGAGUAACGCGUGAGGAACCUGCCUCAAAGAGGGGGACAACAGUUGGAAACGACUGCUAAUACCGCAUAAGCCCACGGUGCCGCAUGGCACAGAGGGAAAAGGAGCAAUCCGCUUUGAGAUGGCCUCGCGUCCGAUUAGCUAGUUGGUGAGGUAAUGGCCCACCAAGGCGACGAUCGGUAGCCGGACUGAGAGGUUGAACGGCCACAUUGGGACUGAGACACGGCCCAGACUCCUACGGGAAGCAGCAGUGGGGAAUAUUGCACAAUGGGGGAAACCCUGAUGCAGCGACGCCGCGUGGAGGAAGAAGGUCUUCGGAUUGUAAACUCUUGUUGUUGGGGAAGAUAAUGACGGUACCCAACAAGGAAGUGACGGCUAACUACGUG
rnacentral:rRNA from 1 species